CCACAUCACAUUGAAAUAUCAGUUCCCAUACAAUCACCAAAGUUAAGCAAUGUAGAGCCUGGUCAGUACCUAGAUGGGUAACCGUUUAGGAAUAUCAGGUGCUGUAAG